rnacentral:tRNA from 1 species
GCCCCCAUAGUUUAAUGGUAAAACACCCGGUUUAUACCCGGCAUUGAGGCUCCAGAUUAGGGCACGUUCUCCGUUCGACCCGGAGUGGGGGUACCA